rnacentral:tRNA from 1 species
UUAGUUUUAGUUUAUAUGAACAGAAAAAUUUGAUCUUUCAAGAAAUAGUGAAAUUCUAUUAAAUUAAA